UACGGAGGGAGCUAGCGUUGUUCGGAAUUAUUGGGCGUAAAGAGCUCGUAGGCGGCUUGUCGCGUCGGAUGUGAAAGCCCGGGGCUUAACUCCGGGUCUGCAUUCGAUACGGGCAGGCUAGAGUUCGGUAGGGGAGAUCGGAAUUCCUGGUGUAGCGGUGAAAUGCGCAGAUAUCAGGAGGAACACCGGUGGCGAAGGCGGAUCUCUGGGCCGAUACUGACGCUGAGGAGCGAAAGCGUGGGGAGCGAACAGG
rnacentral:rRNA from 1 species